rnacentral:rRNA from 1 species
ACUCAAAGGAAUUGACGGGGCCCCGCACAAGCAGCGGAGCGUGUGGUUUAAUUCGAGGCUACGCGAAGAACCUUACCUGGGUUUGACAUCCGGCGCUACCAUGUGAAAGCAUGGGUUCCGCAAGGACGCCGAGACAGGUGCUGCAUGGCUGUCGUCAGCUCGUGUCGUGAGAUGUUCGGUUAAGUCCGAAAACGAGCGCAACCCCCGGGUCCAGUUACAUGUGUCUGGACCGACUGCCUGCGACAAGUGGGAGGAAGGUGGGGAUGACGUCAAGUCAGCAUGGCCUUUACAUCCAGGGCCACACACACGCUACAAUGGCGCGUACAAUGGGAAGCAAGACCGCGAGGUGGAGCGAAUCCUGAAAGCGCGUCGUAGUUCGGAUUGCAGGCUGCAACCCGCCUGCAUGAAGCUGGAGUUGCUAGUAAACGCAGGUCAGCACACUGCGUUGAAUACGUUCUCGGGGCUUGCACACACCGCCCGU